CAUAGAAACGGUGGUGGCAGUCGGCGGUGCUAGGGCGAGAUUUUAGUUCAUCGCUGCUGGCAAGCAUUAUAUCAUAUAAUAUCCAUGCGUCAUAAUCGAUUUCUGCUAUUUCGAAUUUUUGAGCUGCCUGUUCGUUUUGAUUUUUUCUUUUACGCUGAACGAACUUGGUUUAAUUUUAAGUUGAAGUGAGUAUGUUGUGCUUAGUUUCUUGUUCUUGUUGUUUAUGUUUGAGGAGAAAAUUCAUUUUCUUGGAAAAUUCGCAUCUCAUGACGUUGUUUACAGACAUUCCAAUUGAACGUAUUCAGUGAAACAAUAAACUUGCUCGAUUUAGCUGAUUAUGUGAGCUUCAAAAUCUUGGUGGGUUUAAUAAGUGGUUCAAUAAAAUUUACAUGUCUUUAUUGGAUAUAGCUGGUUAAUUCCUGAUUAGAACUGAUUGAUUUUGAUGGUGAAAGGUGACAAAUUAACAAUUUUAAGAAUGUGUGCACUGAAGUGGAACGGAACUUAUUAUCACUAGUAGCUGAUUCUUUUCUAUAGAAUUUAUGGAAGGGACUUAAAUCAGUAUUGUGUUGAAUCUGCUAACAAAUAUUUUAAUCGGACGGGGUCUUAUUUAAGUAAAUUCUGUGUUUCCUUUACUUCUUAACAUGUCUAUGUUCUUGCAAAACUUUCUUCAAUAACUUAACUUAUUUGGCUGUCGAAUGCUACUUGAGGUCUCUUAAUGGUGCAGAGCUGUAUCAUUUUGAUUAGGCAGUAUAUGUUAGUUACCACAUGUAGAUGCCUUUGGACCUGUAAAUCAGAAUUCCAUAGUUAAUGAUCCAAAUCGCGUUUCUAUCUUCUAUUUAUUGUGGGGAGGGGUUGUUUGAUAUUAUGCCUGUAACAAUUUCCAUGAUUUUAAGAAUGGACACCAAAUGAUUGGGUAGAAGUGGGACAUUAUAGUUCUAGAUGCAAUCAGCUAUCUUCACGUAAAAUAUGCAUACACUAAAAAUGAUAUUCCCGUCCUGCGUCCAUAUCGCUGAUACUUGAAGAGUAGCAUCCUGAUAGCCCUCUAAUUUCCUAUUUCAUGCUUCCAACACCUGCUAAAUUGUACGACAGAUUUAUGUAAUAUAACAUGUCUACCAGUUUUUCUAUAUGUGAGAAAAUUUUAUUUAAAGUUGCAAUUUAAUUGUUUGUCAAUAUGUAGAUUAGGUGCCUUGCUCACAUGUUAUUGGAAAUAUUCUUUCCCUCUAUAAUCUUCUUUGAUGCUUGUGUCUUGCGAAUGGCUAAUCUAUAUCCUUGAAGUAAAAGUUCAUAACCAUAUCCUCGAGCUAAUUUAUGCCAGUAAAGAAAGAUUGUUGACACUGCACUGAUGCUUUUGCUUACAUAUGUUUAAAUUAAGUGGACUGUUGUAUUUAGGAGAAUCAACGGAGAGGCCCAAUGGGUAGGAUAGUCAUUUUACAGGUGAAAAUGUAGCCGAGGCGCCUAUGUAGCUUUUAGUUGGUGUGCACGCGUCUUGCAUUAUGAAUGUAUGGAUUGUUGUGGAUGUGUUGGUGUCUAUCUGUUCUUCGGCACAAUAGAUGGCUUUAUUUUGUAGUCAUCUAUAUUCGAUACUAUCGAAGUGGGCUCGAUACCAUCGAGGCUUUCUAGACCAGUUGUCCUAAUUUUGCGUCAUUCAUGAUGUAGUCAUGACGCAUAGCUGAGGUACGUGUCACGCAUUUUGUGGACUGCAUGCGACGAAUUAACCAGCUGUCAUGUUGCAGAUGCCUAUAAAUACGCCCCUUCCUGCCCUUUAUACUCGCACAUCAGAGUUAUCACAAUACAGAAAUUUGCUUUCAAUUUCUGCUAGUAAUUUUCCUUUGAGGAAAGUUUUAGUUUGAUUAUGUUUAGUGAAGGUUUUUGCAGGUUCGCAGCAGAAACCCAUUAUUGAUUUCUUGAUUGUUUAUGUUUCAUUGUGAAGUAAGUACUUCAGGGGUUUUCUAUUUUUCGAAUGGGGCUUUCUUUCUGAUGAAUUGAAGUUUUCUUCAUUUCCUAUUUCUUUUAUGUUUGAGGGCAUAGUUUUAUAUGAGGUUCCUGAUUUACCGAUCUGUUUUUGGCUCAUUUUAUGGAGGGUUUUACCUCUAAUUCAGUGAUCUGUAAACUUCCAGAUCUGCCAAGCAUUCCCCCACAAUCCACACACACACACACACAAAAGAAGAAGAAAGAAGUUGCUGACAAAUUAAUUUCUUGGGGCAGAAGAUGGAAAUCAAAAUCAUUUGUGAACCUGACGGAAGAUGGAUUGUUGGGGGGCAUGGAAAAAAUGGAGACACCGUAACAUGCUCCAAACAAGAAGUGGAGAUUGAUUCUGUCACACAAUUGGAACACAAACAAGAAACCAUGUUUAGGUGCAUUGAUCUGCGAUGGAUCCCAUGUCCUGUAAGUCUUUGUAGAACUGCCUUAAUAUACACCCAACAUCUAUGAUUAACACAUGUUGAUGAAAAAGUUUUAAGGUUCUUUCAACUGAUGUUAUUAUGUCCAACACCAAUGUGAAUUCCCUCUUUCUUUGAUGUGUCCUAAGCAGCGGUUACAAUUGGAAAAAACAUCCGGUGGCCCGGCCGUAAAAUGGCCGGGAGAUGCUAAGGACUUGGGGAAGAAGGGGAAGACUUCCAACGUCACAUUGCCGUCCUGUUGCAGCCCAAAGGCAAAAGGAGAACACUGCCAACGUCAUGUUGCCAAUGAUGUUGUCAUUGUGUUGCAACUUAAAGGCAGAAGGAGAACACUGCCAACGUCACAUGGAGACUGAGCUGCCACUCGAAUGGAACACAAACAAGAGACCUUCAUUACGUGGUGGCAGCAAUAUUGUCAGGAACGCAUCUUCCACGCCCAUCCUUUCCCUCUACUAAAAUGAACGAAUAGAGGAUGCUAAAGGGGCAUGUCCAUGAUGAGAAUAAGAAGAUGCAGAUUCAUCUUGUACGAUGCAACCAAGAGUUCCAAAUUACUAGGAGGAAGAUGUGAAAAGGAUUCGUCUCAUUUCCAUCCACCUCUUAUACCUCAGGUUGCUAUUCCAGAAUUUCGAGUUCUGGAGAAAAACCGUACAAUAUCCCACGGAUUUACCCUAUCUUACUGCCUUGAUAUGGAGUCUUGUCCAGUCAGAUUUUGGGUUGUAAAAUGUAUCUAGUUCUGUACAAUGAAACAAGAGCAAUGUAAGAGUUUGUGUUGGUUUUAGAUAUUACUCUUUUACACUACAAAUAACAAAAA